rnacentral:rRNA from 1 species
AUUGAACGCUGGCGGCAUGCCUUACACAUGCAAGUCGAACGGCAGCGGGGGAGAAGCUUGCUUUUCCUGCCGGCGAGUGGCGAACGGGUGAGUAAUACAUCGGAACGUGCCCUGUAGUGGGGGAGAACUAGUCGCAAGAUUAGCUAAUACCGCAUACGACCUGAGGGUGAAAGUGGGGGGCCGCAGGGCCUCAUGCGUAUGGAGGGGCCUAUGUCUGAUUAGCUAGUUGGUGGGGUAAAGGCCUCCCAAGGCUACGAUCAGUAGCUGGUCUGAGAGGACGAUCAGCCACACUGGGACUGAGACACGGCCCAGACUCCUACGGGGGGCAGAAGUGGGGAAUUUUGGACAAUGGGCGAAAGCCUGAUCCAGCAAUGCCGCGUGUGUGAAGAAGGCCUUCGGGUUGUAAAGCACUUUUGUCCGGAAAGAAAUGGCUCUGGUUAAUACCUGGGGUCGAUGACGGUACCGGAAGAAUAAGGACCGGCUAACUACGUGCCAGCCGCCGCGGUAA